AGCGAACGCUGGCGGCAGGCCUAACACAUGCAAGUCGAACGGACCCUUCGGGGUUAGUGGCGGACGGGGGAGUCACACGUGGGAACGUGCCUUUAGGUUCGGAAUAGCUCCUGGAAACGGGUGGUAAUGCCGAAUGUGUCCUUCGGGGGAAAGAUUUAUCGCCUUUAGAGCGGCCCGCGUCUGAUUAGCUAGUUGGUGAGGUAACGGCUCACCAAGGCGACGAUCAGUAGCUGGUCUGAGAGGAUGACCAGCCACACUGGGACUGGGAAACGGCCCAGACUCCUACGGGAGGCGGCAGUGGGGAAUCUUGCGCAAUGGGCGAAAGCCUGACGCAGCCAGGCCGCGUGAAUGAUGAAGGUCUUAGGGUUGUAAAAUUCUUUCACCGGGGACGAUAAUGACGGUACCCGGAGAAGAAGCCCCGGCUAACUUCGUG
rnacentral:rRNA from 1 species